rnacentral:rRNA from 1 species
GAUGAACGCUAGCGGCAGGCUUAACACAUGCAAGUCGAGGGGCAGCGCGGGAUAGCAAUAUCCUGGCGGCGACCGGCGGAAGGGUGCGUAACGCGUGAGCGACAUGCCCGUUGCCCGGGGACAACCGGUGGAAACGCCGACUAAUCCCCGAUGGGAUAUUGUGCCGCAUGGCACGAUAUUGAAAGUUACGGCGGCGACGGAUUGGCUCGCGUCCGAUUAGCUUGUUGGCGGGGUAACGGCCCACCAAGGCUGCGAUCGGUAGGGGUUCUGAGAGGAAGGCCCCCCACAAUGGGACUGAGACACGGCCCAUACUCCUACGGGAGGCAGCAGUGAGGAAUAUUGGUCAAUGGGCGGAAGCCUGAACCAGCCAUGCCGCGUGCGGGAAGGAGGCCCUCUGGGCUGUGAACCGCUUUUGCCUGGGGGCAAUAAGGGCGUCGCGCACGUCCGAUGAGAGUACCAGGCGAAUAAGCAUCGGCUAACUCCGUG